rnacentral:tRNA from 1 species
GCUACUAUAGCUCAGUUGGUAGAGCGCAUCCUUGGUAAGGAUGAGGUCACCGGUUCAAAUCCGGUUAGUAGCUCCA